rnacentral:tRNA from 1 species
GGGCGCUUAGCUCAGCGGUUAGAGCAUCCGCCUUACACGCGGGGGGUCACUGGUUCGAAUCCAGUAGCGCCCACCA